UACGAAGGGGGCUAGCGUUGUUCGGAAUUACUGGGCGUAAAGCGCAUGUAGGCGGAUCUUUAAGUCAGAGGUGAAAUCCCGGGGCUCAACCCUGGAACUGCCUUUGAUACUGUAGAGCUGGAGUCUGGGAGAGGUGAGUGGAAGUCCGAGUGUAGAGGUGAAAUUCGUAGAUAUUCGGAGGAACACCAGUGGCGAAGGCGGCUCACUGGCCCGAUACUGACGCUGAGAUGCGAAAGCGUGGGGAGCAAACAGG
rnacentral:rRNA from 1 species